CCAAAACGACGUUGUUUUGGUCCUGGUAAAAAAAAAUUAAAAAAAUGUAAACGAAACGACGUCGUUUCGCAUAUAUUUGGGAAAAAAAAAAGUUAUGUUAUAGUGGGGGACCAUUUGUCCCCACGGUCCCAGACUCCCAUUCCUUCCAUCUCUUUAUUUCAUUUUCAUUAGCCUUUGCGGCUCCAAUCAGAGAGCAGAGCAGCGUGGUGCUGCUCUUCCCCAACGCCAACAGCUUGAAACGGAACGGAAGUUACGGAACAGGAGCAAAGUUGCUCUUCCCCCAGCCACUCCAGCCGACAUAUAUAUAUUUAGACUGAAACAUCAAUCGGAUGGAAGAUCAAUGGAUGAAUGACAACAUGGUUAUUUUUAUAGAGAGAGAUAUUUGAUGGUAUUGGUAAUGAUGUUGUCAUGCAACGCUUUCAGAACAUGAAAACGCGUCGAGGGAUAUUGUAAGGGACUGUUGUAUGAAAAACUUUAUGGAUUAAUAUACAAGUAUUGUGUUUAGUAAA